rnacentral:rRNA from 1 species
AUUGAACGCUGGCGGCAUGCUUUACACAUGCAAGUCGAACGGUAACAGGCCGCAAGGUGCUGACGAGUGGCGAACGGGUGAGUAAUGCAUCGGAACGUGCCCAGUCGUGGGGGAUAACGCAGCGAAAGCUGCGCUAAUACCGCAUACGAUCUAUGGAUGAAAGCGGGGGACCGUAAGGCCUCGCGCGAUUGGAGCGGCCGAUGUCAGAUUAGGUAGUUGGUGGGGUAAAGGCUCACCAAGCCAACGAUCUGUAGCUGGUCUGAGAGGACGACCAGCCACACUGGGACUGAGACACGGCCCAGACUCCUACGGGAGGCAGCAGUGGGGAAUUUUGGACAGUGGGCGCAAGCCUGAUCCAGCAAUGCCGCGUGCAGGAAGAAGGCCUUCGGGCUGUAAACUGCUUUUGUACGGAACGAAACGGUCCUGGUUAAUACCUGGGGCUAAUGACGGUACCGUAAGAAUAAGCACCGGCUAACUACGUGCCAGCCGCCGCCGUAA